ACAAAGCCUGUUUGGUGUCUCUUCACAUGGACUCGAGUGAACUUUGGUGCCGUGACUCGGAUUGGGGGACCUCCCUUAGGAAAUCAAUCCCCCGUCCUCCUGCUCUUUGCUCCAUGAGAAAGAUCCACCUACAACCUCAGGUCCUCAGACCAACCAGCCCAAGAAACAUCUCACCAAUUUUAAAUCCACUGAAGACUGACGCUGCCUGAUCACCUCGGAAGCGCCGUAGACCAUCAGGGACGCCGAGCUUCCGGUAACUCUCACAGUGGAGGAAGGCAGGAAUGUCAGGCCUCUGAGCCCAAGCCAAGCCAUCGCAUCCCCUGUGACUUGCACGUAUACGCCCAGAUGGCCUGAAGUAACUGAAGAAUCACAAAAGAAGUGAAAAGGCCCUGCCCCGCCUUAACUGAUGACAUUCCACCAUGGUGAUUUGUUCCUGCCCCACCUUAACUGAGUGACUAACCCUGUGAAUUUCCUUCUCCUGGCUCAGAAGCUCCCCCACUGAGCACCUUGUGACCCCCGCCCCUGCCCACCAGAGAACAACCCCCUUUGACUGUAAUUUUCCAUUACCUUCCCAAAUCCUAUAAAACGGCCCCACCCCAUCUCCCUUCGCUGACUCUCUUUUCGGACUCAGCCCGCCUGCCCCCAGGUGAAAUAAACAGCCAUGUUGCUCACACAAAGCCUGUUUGGUGGUCUCUUCACACGGACGCGCAUGAAAAACCCCUUUC